UCCAAGACCUAGCAAAGCCUGGCUGAAUUUUCAGGUUGUUUAAUCUCCCCGCUGUUUUAUAUUAAAGGGAUAAUGGUCACAGACAGGAACCGCUGACACUUGUCAGGCUGCUAUUGUUGCCUGUUUGCUGGUACAUCAUGCUCUUAUGGUGGAUACCCAGUGGUACCUGACAGAAAGAAACAAGGCAGAUUUACUGGGAUCGCUGAAAAAAAAUCCAUCAUUUGCAGGUUCCCACAAAGCCAAGGAUGAAACUUAGGAACUUUGAUGAUUCCUAUUAGAAGAAAAAAUUGGUGUGUCAUGUCUAGUUCUCCCACUGCAAGAAGUUCACAGGACAAAUUAAGCCAUUAAAC